GAAACGGAGGUUAGGGAAGCUAGGUGGUCUACCUAGCCAAUGGGAAGUUUAGUUUCCAGUGAGUUUAAACCAAUCAGAAUUCAGACUGCCGCUGCAAGCCCCGCCCUUCUUCCCUGUAUCUGCAGCAUUGUGUGUGUAAGCGAGAGAGAUCCGCGAUGAGAAGGAAACGGUUAAGCUGGGCAACAUCGGGCUUCAAGUAAAGCUCCAGACCUCACAACCUGCCUGCUCUUCCUGGCUGUUUCCAGCUUUCCUCCUCGGAGUCACCAGGCACCAAGCUUCCCCUUCUGGUUCACCUUGGACAAAAACCGGAGUUUUUCCACCACCUCCUGGUUUCCACAAACACCUUCAAUCUCUUUUGUAAAUAAAUCACAACAAACUGUG